UUCCUUNGGGNGGCAGCAAUAGGGAAUUUUUNGCAAUGGGNGACAACCUGAAGCAGNCCNCCGGGUGGGGGAANAAGGUCUUUGGGUUNUNAAAUUUUUNUCGAGGGAAGAAAUGACGGUACUCGAGGAGGAAGCCCCGGCUAACUACGUGCCAGCAACCGGGGUAAAUCGUAGGGGGCGAGCGUUNUUUGGAAUUAAUGGGGGUAAAGGGCGGGUAGGGGGCAUGUUAAGUCCUGUGUGAAAACCCCCGGGUUAACCCUGGGCACCCCUUUGAAACUGGUGGGUUUGAGGUUCGGAGAGGGAAGGGGAAUUCCCGGUGUAGGGGUGAAAUGUGUAGAUAUCGGGAGGAACCCCCGUGGGGAAGGGGGCUUUCUGGCCCGUCCCUGACGCUGAGGCGNGAAAGCCGGGGUAGCAAACAGGAUUAGAUACCNCGGUAGUCCCACCCGUAAACGAUGGAUNCUAGGUGUGGGAGGUAUCGACCCCUUCUGCCGAAGNUAACGCC
rnacentral:rRNA from 1 species